rnacentral:rRNA from 1 species
AGAGUUUGAUCAUGGCUCAGGAUGAACGCUGGCGGCGUGCUUAACACAUGCAAGUCGAACGAUGAUCUCCAGCUUGCUGGGGGGAUUAGUGGCGAACGGGUGAGUAACACGUGAGUAACCUGCCCUUGACUCUGGGAUAAGCCUGGGAAACUGGGUCUAAUACCGGAUAUGACUCCUCAUCGCAUGGUGGGGGGUGGAAAGCUUUUGUGGUUUUGGAUGGACUCGCGGCCUAUCAGCUUGUUGGUGGGGUAAUGGCCUACCAAGGCGACGACGGGUAGCCGGCCUGAGAGGGUGACCGGCCACACUGGGACUGAGACACGGCCCAGACUCCUACGGGAGGCAGCAGUGGGGAAUAUUGCACAAUGGGCGAAAGCCUGAUGCAGCGACGCCGCGUGAGGGAUGACGGCCUUCGGGUUGUAAACCUCUUUCAGUAGGGAAGAAGCGAAAGUGACGGUACCUGCAGAAGAAGGCCCGGCCAACUACGUGCCAGCAGCCGCGGUAAUAC